UACGGGGGGGGCAAGCGUUGUUCGGAAUUACUGGGCGUAAAGGGCUCGUAGGCGGCCAACUAAGUCAGACGUGAAAUCCCUCGGCUUAACCGGGGAACUGCAUCUGAUACUGGAUGGCUUGAGUUCGGGAGAGGGAUGCGGAAUUCCAGGUGUAGCGGUGAAAUGCGUAGAUAUCUGGAGGAACACCGGUGGCGAAAGCGACUUCCUGGACCAAUACUGACGCUCAUGUGCGAAAGCGUGGGGAGCAAACAGG
rnacentral:rRNA from 1 species